rnacentral:rRNA from 1 species
AGUGGAUGGGGAGCAACCUAGUUGUGCGUGUGUAAAGGUAGUGCCAAGAAAAGCGAUGAUCAUGUUGAAAAUCAAUUCCCGGUACCCGAAACCGACACAGGUGGGCAAGUAGAGAAUACUAAGGGGCGCGAGGUAACUCUCUCCAAGGAACUCGGCAAAAUGACCCCGUAACUUAGGGAGAAGGGGUGCCACCGAGAGGUGGUCGCAGUGAAGAGGCCCAGGCGACUGUUUAGCAAAAACAUAGGUCUCUGCAAACUCGAAAGAGGAGGUAUAGGGGCUGACGCCUGCCCAGUGCCGGAAGGUUAAAGAAGUUGGUCAGUCUUAGGAUGAAGCUAGCGACUGAAGCCCCGGUGAACGGCGGCCGUAACUAUAACGGUCCUAAGGUAGCGAAAUUCCUUGUCGGGUAAGUUCCGACCCGCACGAAAGGCGUAACGAUCUGGGCGCUGUCUCGGAGAGAGGCUCGGCGAAAUAGGAUUGUCUGUGAAGAUACGGACUACCUGCAUUUGGACUGAAAGACCCUAUGAAGCUUUACUAUAGCUUGGAAUUGUGUUCGGGCUUCCUGUGCGCAGGAUAGGUGGGAGGCGUAGAAGGUAUUCUUGUGGGGAUACUGGAGCCAACGGUGAGAUACCACUCUCAGGAGGCUAGAAUUCUAACUUAAUUAAGGACAGUUUCAGGUGGGUAGUUUGACUGGGGCGGUCGCCUCCAAAAAGGUAACGGAGGCGUACAAAGGUUCCCUCAGACUGGUUGGAAAUCAGUCGAAGAGUGCAAAGGCAGAAGGGAGCUUGACUGCGAGAAGUACAGUUCGAGCAGGGUGGAAACACGGUCUUAGUGAUCCGACGGUGCUGUGUGGAAGGGCCGUCGCUCAACGGAUAAAAGUUACUCUAGGAUAACAGGCUGAUCUCCCCCAAGAGUUCACAUCGGCGGGGAGGUUUGGCACCUCGAUGUCGGCUCAUCGCAACCUGGGGCGGAAGUACGUCCCAAGGGUUGGGCUGUUCGCCCAUUAAAGCGGUACGUGAGCUGGGUUCAGAACGUCGUGAGACAGUUCGGUCCAUAUCCGAUGUAGGCGUGAGAAUAUUGAGAGGAGCCUUCCUUAGUACGAGAGGACCGGGAAGGACGCACCGCUGGUGUACCUGUUAUGAUGCCAAUUGUAAACGCAGGGUAGCCAAGUGCGGAGAGGAUAACCGCUGAAAGCAUCUAAGUGGGAAGCCCACCUCAAGAUGAGUAUUCUGGUGUAAGGUCACGGGAAGACGACCCGUAAAUAGGCACGAGGUGGAAGUGCAGAGAUGUAUGAAGCCGAAGUGUACUAAUAGACCGUCGGCUUGACC